GGUGUUUUGUCGCCGAGAGCGGGACGGACUGCAAGCUGUCAAACCUGAGGGUUUAUUUUUGUUGAGUCGAAAGUGAAAUUUUCCUUUGGCCGGCGUGACAGGUAAGGGGGAGAAGGGUGUCCUGUCCCCUGGAAGAUUCGUAUGGUUCUUUCGGUUAAGCGGUACGAGCGAGGUGGCCUUUUGAUCCUCGCAAAUUGCAUUUCUACCCAGGGCUUUGUUUGGUGGUAAAGGGGGUGCUAGAGACCCCUCAUUCCACUACCACUCGAGGGCGCGUUUCUAAGUUCUUGCUCCUCAGCCCCGCUAAAAAGAAUUCCUUGAUCUAAACACCAGGUUCUCCGCUCAUUUUCAAGUGUGAGAAGUAACCCCCUUCGUUUAUCUCUAAUAAGAGGUUGGAAAUAAAUUGUUCCAUUGUGUCAUUUUGGUAGCAUAAUGCCCCCCUUUUUAAAAUUAAUUCUUAAUUUCUACGUUUUCAAUGGUUUUAGCAAGCAGAAUGUCAUAUUUCCAAAUCGCUAUACUUGUUCUUUCCAAAUGAGGCUGCCAGGUACACAUGGUUUUGCAAAUUUCUUGACUCUGAAAGGGAGUCUAGUAAACCAACUGACUCAUGCCUCUCUUGGUUUCAAUUCCCCAUAGGUCUCAGAUGUGACGAUUAAGACCUAUGUCUCCCCCAGACUCCCUCUAAAAAGAAAUCAGUAUGCUUCCACGGUGUGCCCUAGCGUGCUCAGUAGUACCUCUACCCAAAUAAUCCCCUAGUCUGUAAGGAGGAAUCCGAAGACUCCGGCUUUCCUCCUUCACCUGUCCAAUGUUGAGUGUAUGGUGUGCAGGAAUAUUUCUCAGAUUCUUCCACACUGAGAUUACAGCAGUAGGCUCCUAACUAGUUUGUCUACAUCCAGCCCUGGCUUCCCACAGUACACCCUUGGGUGAGCCCAAGAGGAAGUAUGUCAGUCCUCUUGUUAGAAUCCUCCAGUGGUUCCCCGGUUUAUAUAAUGACAUCCAAACUCCUUAGUUUGGCAGACACACCUGUUAGGGUUGAAGCGCCAGUGUCCCUCAAAUACUCAACAUGUUUCUCUUGCUUUAGUAUGCCCUUUCCCUCUUUGUGGGGCAGAUUCCUGCUAGUUCCUUAAGCCUCCACUUCAGCGUCUCAGGAGAGAGUACCUUGAAAUCAAGAUGCAGAUUCUUUGCGCUGUCACUUUGCCGCCGACACUGAAUUCAAACUUGAUAAGCCAAAUCUGAUGACCCGGCCAUUUGUAAAUCAGUUGCUAGUGUAUUUACUAAUCAUGGAGUGAUUUUGAUGGAUAGGUGAAUAAAUUGUUGAAUGAACAUGUGACUAGUAUGCUAAGAGAGACGAUCUGUUCUGCCCGUGAAUGACAGAACACACACCAUGCAGGCCGUAGUGAUAGAUAGUCCCAAGGUCGUAAGCCUGGACACAGAGCAUGGUGGGAUACUAUUGCCAGGAAUACUGUGUGCCACUAUUGUCCUCUGCUUGACAUUUUGCUUUAGACAUUUUCCGUGGAGGCAUUUUGUUGCAUCCUAAAAAAUGUAACCAUUAAAUUGUCACCAGUGACCAAGGAAAGCCUGCUAAGACCCUCACCUAGCAUUCUCACCUUGCCCUGAGCCUGACCUCUCCUCUUCCCCAAGUCUCACUGUCCUACCUUAAGGGAUGAGGCUCUGGUACGAUCUGAGGGGGCUUGGAGACAUCUCUGUUGUUUGGUAAUGGAACACAGGACCUUGACAUUGUUACAAAAUUGUUUUAAGGGACAAACCUCGUUGAAAUACCUUGUUUUAAACUUUGUUGGACACAGUAGUCAUGACUUACGAGGAGGUGUCCAUCAUUUGACCUGUUUUAUUCCCUAACAUUGGGUCCUGGGCAGGAAGGACAGGACUGUGGGCAGGAAGGACUGAGAGAUGGAAAGAAGGAAGGGCAGAGGGAAGGACUAAGGGACGGCCAGUUGAGUGCAGAAAUGAUGAGGGUGACCCACCACAUUCCCUGGUCUCACAAUCUCCGUUCUGUUCUGCUCACUUGAGUUUUGAGGUCUAAAAAGAGGCAGAUAAAGUAUAAACUCUUAUUUAUGCCCCAGGAAGGAUCUGAGGGAACCCAAGCAGGGAGCAGCCAUGAAGUGACUCCUUAUUUAAGAAGAGGGUUACGUAUUACUCCAUCAACACUUUGAUGUCUAGAAAGAGUUAAGGACAAUGUCUUCCUGCUUGUGCUCUCAAGCCGUGUGGCAGAAGUCAAGAACAUGGUAGUUGCUGAAGAACCACUUGUGGAAGCAAGAGAAGACAGGAGAAAGUUGUAACUGACUCUUGGAAGGAUUCCGGGAUGGUACCGUAAAUGGUGUGUGGGUUUAGUAACAUUUCCACAAUCAGAAACUCCGAGUUGAUGAGAGUAAUUUCCCAUUUCCUAAACUAAAACUGACCAAGAGCAUCUACUAAAAUUAAUUAUUUUGCAAUCCAUUUUGUUUUGUUGUUGUUGUUAAAACCAAUUUCCUUCAGUGGCUGGGCUUGUCAAGCCUCUUUUUCUGCUUGAAAACUCAGCAAAAAGCAUGAGCAUCAGAGGGCUGGAGAGAUGGCUCAGAGGUUAAGAGCACUGACUGCUCUUCCAGAGGUCCUGAGUUCAAACCCCAGCAACCACAUGGUGGCUCAUAACUACUCGUAAUGAGGUCUGAUGCCCUCUUCUGGUGCAUCUGAAGACAGCUGCAGUGCACUUAUGUAUAAUAAUAAAUAAAUCUUAAAAAAGAAUAUGCAUCAUAGCAUAUGAUUGUUUUAUAGCUUGGAGGCAAGGAAUUGUCUAUGCCUUAGAGCAGAGCUUCUCAACCUUCCACAUGCUGAGACCUUUUACUAUAGUUCCUUGGGUUGUGGUGACCUCUCCCCCAACCAUAGAAUUAUUUUUGAUACUACUUCAUAACUGUAAUUUUGCUACUGUUAUGAAUUGUAAAUAUCUGAUAUUCAGGAUAUUUGAUAAUAUGACACACGCACACACACCCGUGAAAAGGUUGGUUGACUCCGAAAGGGGACUUGACCCAUAGUUUGAGAGCCACAGUCAUCAUCUGCGUUUGAAACACAUCAUAUGCAGGUUUUGGAAGCACUCCUACUGGAAAAGCAGUGUCUCAAAACACCGUUAAUUAGACUGUUUGUUACUAUGCAGUCAACCCACCGAUAUACAACAAAAUAAGUUGAUGUUGAGGCUGCGGGGUCAAAGGUCAGGACUAAUCAAUAGCAAUGUCAAGUACUUUACCGUUUUCUGCUAGGCUGUGUUCAGACUGCUUUGCAUCAAAGAACCCUCCUGGGCUGCAGAUGUCAGUCGAUGUUAGAGGCUUGCUUAGAGCUAGAAGGCCGGCUCAGCAAAUACAACUCAAGUUAGUGUAGUGCUUGCCAAAUAUGCAUGGAGCCCUGGGUGUGAUUUCCCUACUACCAUAUCACCUGGUGGAGGUGAUGGUGGCGGGGAGGGGUGGGGGUGGGGGAUCAGAAGUUCAAGGUACAUAGCAAGUUAAUUGGCACCC
rnacentral:lncRNA from 1 species